AGAGUUUGAUCCUGGCUCAGGACGAACGCUGGCGGCGUGCUUAACACAUGCAAGUCGAGCGGUAAGGCCUUUCGGGGUACACGAGCGGCGAACGGGUGAGUAACACGUGGGUGAUCUGCCCUGCACUUCGGGAUAAGCUUGGGAAACUGGGUCUAAUACCGGAUAUGACCUCAGGUUGCAUGACUUGGGGUGGAAAGAUUUAUCGGUGCAGGAUGGGCCCGCGGCCUAUCAGCUUGUUGGUGGGGUAAUGGCCUACCAAGGCGACGACGGGUAGCCGACCUGAGAGGGUGACCGGCCACACUGGGACUGAACACGGCCCAACUCCUACGGGAGGCAGCAGUGGGGAAUAUUGCACAAUGGGCGAAAGCCUGAUGCAGCGACGCCCGUGAGGGAUGACGGCCUUCGGGUUGUAAACCUCUUUCAGCAGGGACGAAGCGCAGUGACGGUACCUGCAGAAGAAGCACCGGCUAACUACGUGCCAGCAGCCGCGGUAAA
rnacentral:rRNA from 1 species